rnacentral:rRNA from 1 species
CGCGUAGGCGGAUUGGAAAGUUGGGGGUGAAAUCCCGGGGCUCAACCCCGGAACUGCCUCCAAAACUUCCAGUCUUGAGGUCGAGAGAGGUGAGUGGAAUUCCGAGUGUAGAGGUGAAAUUCGUAGAUAUUCGGAGGAACACCAGUGGCGAAGGCGGCUCACUGGCUCGAUACUGACGCUGAGGUGCGAAAGCGUGGGGAGCAAACA